rnacentral:lncRNA from 1 species
AAAAAAGGAGUGAGUAUGGCAGAUAUUUGAGGAAGGAGGUGGGAGGAGGAGAAGGAAGGGGAGAGAGCUGAGGAAAAAAGUUUGAAAAUGCCUUGAACUAUUCACUGUCGAGAUGGCUAAUCAGUAUUGAGGCCGGAGGGCAGGCGGGCCGCCUUUCACCGCCGCUUUCCUUUCAUCUCGGGCUCGGCGGAGGCGCUCAAUUAAAAGCCUAUCAGUUUGUAAGUAAAUCAACGCCUAUCAGAGUUGUCACAUCAAACAAAACGAUUAUUAUUGCAGCCCGCCUCCCCUAUUAAUCUCCCUCGAAGAUAAUCCGCCUGACAGGUCAGGCCCGGCGAGCUGGAAAGCCUGGCCCAGAGCACCCAAACAGUCCCGGACUGGCGCGCACCCCCAGGGACCUCCCCACCCUCGUCCGGUUCCGCCUUGCAGUCCCCGGGGAGGGACGAGAGAAAGAGCGCUCGAAGGCCCAGGGACAGGACCCGCCUUACUCCACGAGGAGCGGGGCCCGGAUUCUCCGGGCCGUAGGGGACCAUCCCGCGCAGCCCCGGCCUUUUCUCGGGGUCUGGGAGGCUCCAAAGAAUCGACGGAUUUCUCUGGCAGUCGUUUGCACUGAAUUUAUCCGAAUAAAGCCCACUCUCAGGCAUCCAGCAGAACCAGCUCUCCACUGUGCUGUAGCAGCCAUCUUGUCACCAGGAGGAAAAGUGCAAGAAAACAGCAGAGACUUAAUUCUGAUGUCACUGGGACAUGGACCUACCAUCAGGCCUGCUUCAGCCUCUAGAAGCUAAAAGGACUAUAUCCUCCUUCUUCCUGGCCUGGCAGUUGAAGUUCCACCAAGCGGACACCCCAUCCGGACCUCUGACUCUCAAGGGGUGAGCAGGAGGUUGGGGUGUGGAAAGCCUUCCUGCACUUCACCAAGCCUAAGGCAGUGGCACUGACUGUCUAGGUGGGGCAGAGAGGGAAGAUGGUUGCUGCCAUAUCCAGUGUGAUAAUGGUGGCCACUCAGCCAAUGGCCCAACUGGACCUUUCUAGUGGCAUGACAAACUGCACCUCUAUUCCCAGCCACUCCUGGUUCCCAUCCAUUUCCCAGUUGUGAGUCUCCAGUCUUCUCACAGAUUUCUCUGAGCUUCCUACUAUCCUUCUGAUAAAGUCAUUUUUUGCUUAAAUCAGCCAGAGCUUGUUUCUGUCACUCACAACCAACAAUAUCAACUGAUUUGCCACAGCCUGGCUCAUUGGGUGGCUUCUAAAUGGGCCCGAUGGUGAUUACUUCUUAGUUGUACCUGCGGGAUCCUAUGAUGGGUACCAGCAUGGGGCCCUGAUGACAACCAGCCUGGCUGAAUGCCUCCCAACCAGCCAGGUAAUGAUUUCAAGUGAAAAACUUAAAAUUCAGCAAUGAGAAUCAGUCAUGCCAGGAUUGGGUGAGGGAAUCAUAUUAGUGAUUUUAUCGAAUUCCUACUG